GGCAGGGUUAAAGCUGCAGCUGCAACUCCUCCUGGCGAGGCGGCCGAGCGAUUGGGUUACACAGCGCGGCUGCGCGGCGCUGCUCGCCGCCGCCGAUAAAACCCUGCCACGCAUGGCGCAGCGCCUCAUUACGGGGAGGCACCUUGCCGAGAGACACGCGAGAAGCUCCUUGCCACGCGCCGCCGCUCGACGCGCGCCUCACGCGACUGCUCGCACGACUCGCUCCCCGUCGCGCGCAGUACGCCACUUGGCUCGAGUCGCGCCCGCGGGCGAGCAGCGCAGAGCCGAUCAGCCGGAAGAUUGCCGCCGCAACGCUCGCCGAAGACCGUCCGCUCCAAGAUCGCCAGCAGCCGAAGAUCUAGGCCGACGACGCAGCGACGUCUCGAGGGUCGGCGCCAGACAGCGCCGCCCGCAGUCCCUCCAGGUUCAUGAAUCUGAGCAAAACAGGUAACGUCAACAUGCCAACCGAUUGCGCCGCGGCGCGCCCGACGAUCCUCGGCCCCCCGGGCCGUUCCCCGCUGUUGCAUGCGCCUCGGGCAGCGACGAGGGAGGUGGACGGACGAUUACGUCACACUUUGGCCGUCAGUUUGUCCCUGCGUAGCUCAGCGUCGACCGAGCGCAGCCCCGAUUCGCGCCCUUCCACGCUGGCGGCCCGCGAGCCGCGAGGCCGCUGCAGGCUGGUUCCACUGAUUUUGGAGCGCGAGAGGGACGACGGAUGCACGCGCACGCGAGCGCGCUGGCGUUCAAGCCUCCGCCGUUUGGCGCGCGGCCAGGGCGCUUAUCUCUCGGCGCUGGAUUCGCGCGACCGCUGCCGAUGCCGCGGGCCCCCGCCUCCUCGCGCGAGUCGUCGUCUCGACGGGCACCUCGGCGCGCAGGCUUCGCUCGCUCGCCAGCCCGAGCGCGCUCGGGUUUUCGCUUCGAGGAGCAACGGCCAAAAGUCGCCAGUUCAGCGCUGAACGAUGCGGCAGCGCGACUUCCGUCGUCGGAACUUGCGGGCGUACCUUCCCGCGUCACGCUCGUGUGGUAAUCCGUCGUCCCUGUCGACCCGACAAUGCAUGCUAUCCGACGCGCGAGAUCGCGCCGAGAGCAGCGAAGAAACGAGAGCACGAGCGGGAGACGAGAACGACAAAGGAAGAUUGCAACUGAACGGAAGCUGAAGAUUGUUGGUGUUAUUCUGUGCGCGCGCGCGUGUGCCAGCAUAUCGAUCUCGCUUGCACUUGAACAAGGUCGAGCCGCCUCGUGUCUGCUUGACCGCGUGGCAUUGCAACGACUUACUGUCUCCCGAAGAUCUAUCCCAACAUGCCAACGAGGGUCAGGAUUGGAGUUAAACAAGAUGGACCAGCAGUAUAAGCUCCGCUGGCACAAUCAUCCAGCUAAUCUCACCGAUGUACUCAGUUCCCUCCUGGCAAGGGAAGCACUCUGCGAUGUAACCCUGGCUUGUGUUGGGGAGACAUUCAAAGCCCAUCAGACUAUACUCUCAGCCUGCAGCCCGUACUUUGAGAACAUCUUUCUACAGAAUAUUCAUCCUCAUCCGAUAAUCUUUCUAAAAGAUGUCAACGAUACAGAGAUGAAAGCCCUGUUACAUUUUAUGUAUAAGGGUGAAGUCAACGUCAGUCAACAUUUGUUGCCUAUGUUUCUCAAAACUGCCGAGGCACUGCAGAUCAGAGGUCUCACUAACGACAGUGUAAAUAAUGAUGCCGAUGAAAAGAGCCCCAGCCCAGAACCAGAGGCACAGCCUGUUAUCAGGCAUUCUGACUCACCCAGCAUACAAAGUCAUCCUGAGAAGAGGAAACGAAAAAUGUCUGGAAAUUAUGAUAAUACACUCAGUGGCCCACCCAGCGAAAAAUAUCAUUCUGACUCUCAGGCAUCAUCCCAAUGUAGUUACAAAUCAAGUCCUACAGUUCCAAAGUUAAAUUAUGCUCUGGCAGGAAAUCUGGAGGAUGGUCGCCAAUCCAUCUCUCCACAAUCUCAAUCUCAAGCCCCAAUUAAGCAAGAAAUUGACCAUCAUAUGUCUGAUUUCCACGACAACAUUUCAAUGCCUGCACACCCAGUCAGUCUUCGGAGCGAGGAUAGCGGCCCGACGACAGGCGGCUCGCUCAACGAUAGCGUGCCGGGCAUCGAAUCGUCGGAGCAUCACAACCCACCGGAGGUGGUCGACGGACUCGAUGCAUUCAGUGCGAUUCAACAUCUUCGAGUGCCAGGGCCGCACGGACCGAUGAAAAGCUUCUUCAGCCUUCUGCUCGAACGCAUUGGAUUUUAUCAUUUGCUCGCGACGACCUUGUGGAUUAUUCCGAUUAGGCGAUUGGACCCUCGUCACUAAAUCAUUCCCGAUUGUUGUGCGGAAAUCAUAAUUGUCGAACCAAGCGUCUCGAGCAAACGAAUCGGUUGAAAACGAUCAAAUUCGUAUUGUUACACUUGAGCAUGCCCUACAACUAAGAGGAUCGAGGAACGUCGCCUAGAUUGCGAGAGGGAGGAUAUCGAUGAGCUAGCUAUCUUUUUACUUGUGUACCCAAACAAAGCACACAUAUACCGAAAUAAUUUAAAGUAAUAUAUAGUAUAGUAUAUUAUUAACCGUAACCAGAUUUUAUUAAUAUAUUACGCAGAAUCUUAUUCACUGAGGUAUAUAUAAUAAUAUAUAUAUUGGAUAUAAUUUAUUUUAUUUUUUUUGUUUUACCGUUUUAAUGAUUUUAUAUACACUGUUGUUACUGGUUGACGAGAAUUAUAAUGAAAGAUGCAAUUAUAAUAGCACAGCGGUUUCCGUCUGUGACCGCACGGAUUUAUUUAUUUUUACACUUGCAUAUAAUAUAUAAGCAGGGAAAUGUACACGGGGCAAACCAAACACACGCUCACACACAGAGACGCAGAUGCAAGUGAAUUGUAACGCGGCAUACGAGUCGGAGAAUGCACACCGUGCGUAGGCCUACCCCCUGGCUUAACCUGCCUUCUCGUUUUUUUUUCUGCAUUGUAUUUCUCGUGAAAAAAUUAUCUUCUCGUUCAGCGCCUAUUCGUUUGGGAAUGCGGGGAACAAAAGUGACAAGGUCGUAGGCAUUAUUUUAGACGCUCAUCGCUUACCAAAUAUGUGCAGUAUGCCGAGUGUUUUUCGAAAGGUCCGAAUAGAAAUCGUACUGCGGCCCUUACGAUCUUUCUUUCUUGUUGUAUAUGUUUAUUAUCGUAGCUUACUAUAUGAAUAUUGUCGUGCCGAUGACGAGUCGCUGAGCGAUUCAAACGAGUUUGCGAUACGUCAAACGUUCGCUCGUUUACUUAAACACAAAAUGGAAUGAUUUAUUUAUUGUGAUCGAGGCGAUUGUGCAUUUGUAAGGGCAGCAGUACUUGUGCAAUUGCGUUUCCACCAAGCGACCAUGUUUUCUUAUGAUUUUUAUUAUGAUGAUUAUUAUUGUUACGAUUUUUUAUGCAUGUAAGCGCACAACUGAAAAGCUGCGAGCAACAAUAAAGGAUUUCCUUUUGUUCACUUGGUUUCAUGUAAUUUUUAUUCAAUUUCUUUCCAUUGUGUUUUGUAUUGAUUAUUAUGUAUGCCGCCGUACACAAAGCACGCUUUCUUAUCCCCCCAUUGCCUGCAUGUGAUAUACAAUAUGUGCGACUAUGUCUAUAACUUCCUUUUCUUUUCAGAAGUUUUGUCACUAUAUAUUCUUUUAGGCGAUUGUAGCGAGAGCCUUGUGUCAGUUUGUCUUACACUUUUAUUGUUCAUCUUCUUUUUUUUCUGCUAAUUUUAGUUUGUAAGUUGGGCUUGCGGAAUCAGGUGGAAACGUGUCGAGUAUGAAUUUUAUUUAUUAUAUACUUUUGUUUCACUACGUUUUGUCCUUAGAUUAAAUAUUUGCGGUGCGUCUGAAGUCAUUAGAUGUAGCGACUACUUGCCAAAUGUUCAAUUGUUAAUUAACGUUCACAAACAAUUUAUCGCGAAUUCUAUGACAAUCAAGUGUGCUGGAUCUUGUUGUUGGCACGUCAACUUUGAGCCAAAUGGCGAGAUCAACUUUGAAUGCUUUGUUUCGACGGUACUUUGAAUGUGAGCUCGAAACACGUUGAAGUCUCUGUCGUCAUUAAAAUCCCGAAACAGGUGUUUGUAUUUCAUGACUUGCGACGUGUCGAAGCACAACAAGCUCUUUUCAAAAGCUUGAAGGAGCAUUGAAAGUUUAGUUCUCGAGUUUGACCGAAAGUUGACGCCCGAACAAGGCCCAAGUAACGCAUCACAAUUGUAAAUUAUAAUUGAAAGUUUCUGUCGAAAUCAGUAAUGAAAAUAAGGGAGAAUGUACUUUAAUAUAGGCGUGUUGAAUUAGACCAAAAUCCAAUGAAAACUCAAGCGGAAAUCGGAUUCUAGUGGCUUUGGACGCGUAUGUGAACGAGCGAGAGAGGUCCGUGUCCCGAGUUCUCUCGCAGCGGGCGAAAAAAUGUACGAAAGCGCGCGCCCGCAAGGCUAAAGCGACGAAAUACUCGGCAACCGAACUUUACUCAGACGAAAACGAACGGAAAGAAAUUCGCGCAGCCGCUUUCUUUGGCAAGCGAAAGGACAGACACGUGAAUCAUUAUGAAAUUACCUAUCACUACCACUAUUACGUAACUAUGAUACUACUACUGCUACUACUACUAUGAGUACUACAACUACUACCGCUACUAUUACUAAACCAGAAAAAAAACUUAUUACUACUACUAUUAAUUAUAGGUAUUUAUAUAUUUACAAUUGCGUGGUGUGGAGUGGAACAUUGUGAUAUAAUAGAUUGGUGCUAACACCUUAUUGAAAUUGAAGAUACAUUUAAAUUAACGAAUAGAUAUGAGAAUUUGAAGAGGAAACGAAAUGGAAUUUGAAAAACGUGCAAUAUCGCGUGGGAAGAAGGUUCUCAUGCAAGCGGGAUGGAAGCAAAGACACACGGACACACGUACAGGCACAACACGGACACGCGGUGAAAGAGAUGAGGCAGUUGGGACAGUCGAGGAGAACAGCUUGAUUUUCACUUUCUUUCCCCGAUUUGGCUUUUGGCAAUCGAACUGCCGCGAUUAUCCGGUUUAACGAUCAUUGUUCUGUCGUCGUCGAAACGCAAUUAUACACGCUGUGACUGCUAUGCCAAACUUUGUGUAGUUGGAGAUGUCAGGCCGCGAGAGAAAGAGACCGUUUCAGUUGUCAAGAGAUAAAGGCAGAGUGAUAUAUACGAUAUAUUAUUAUAACGGAGUAGGUGCGAAUUUAUUAUUUUAUAAUGAACUAAUUCUGUAUUUUACUGUUGAUUAACCUGCAAAAUGUUUUUUUCUUGUAAAAUAAAAUUUAUAUUGAAAAACCAGCGCUCUUUCAUUCUGUCCGAGCAGCUUUAACCAAGCUCAACGCAUAAUAUCAUUCUACUUUGCAAUUACGCGCCAGCGAGAGCAUUUCUUUGCCAAGUGCGAGUCGGAGCGGCGAGGGCGACCGCUCGGUAAACAAAUGAAUAAAAUAGCGAAAAUUAGAGCGGACGAGAGCUGAACUCGCGGGGAAGCUUGAGCUCAAGCUCUCUAAACGGCUAAAGCGAGCGGACUUCAACUUUAGCCUGCGAAUGUUGUACAAUGCGCUAGCUCUCAAAUCACUUUGAAUUUGCGUUGAGAUUGAGGCUUACGAAAAAGCAAACCUCGGAGUCCUACCGGAUGCAGAGCGCAAUUGAACUCCGACUUUUUAUCUUUUGGUGCUCUGCUUUAUCGCUUCGUUGUUUUACGGCCUCGCGAUCGGGUCGCACAGUCCGAGAAAUCUUGACCAGUGCAAGACCGAAUGGGUCUUGCUUUUCUUUUUAUCAAAAACAGUAUUGUCGAUCUUCCAUAUUUUCAAUGUUUCUCGAAAUGUAAAGAUCCUAAUGGGCGAUAGCGUCUCAGUUCGGACCGAGUGGCAAUUCGAUGCAACGUUUCGUCACCUCGCGUGUACAUAUACCGUAAUUGUAAUAAAAUAAGACGAUUUGUCUUUUUCAUUGUUCGCAAUGAGCGCAAGUCAUUCAAUGACCACGGAUGAAUUUUAUCGUGCGAUUCUCGCGCAAGCUCAAUGAGCUCCCAUCGAUGUUGGCCAAUUCGAAUUCGCGACAUCGAGGAUGAAACGUAUUGCGACCGGGAAUGGAGGAUUGCAACUUUUUUUUCCAUUUCUCGGCAGAAUCAGACUGAUGUUGUAAUUAAUAAAGCAAACGUGGCGCGGCAAGCGAAAGGACGGUGGGCCGAGGAAUGCAGUGCAAACGAAACGGACGAAAGCAGAAGGCAGAAGGGAGGUAAAAGGGUGUGCGAGACGAUUAACUGGUGACCUCUUUUGUCCUAAUUCCAAUUCGCACUGUUUAGUCCUGGCGAUCGUCUGUUUUUUCCUCCUUCUUUAGUUCUUCACGAGCUACUACCCUUUCGUCACGGGCUCUUCUACGGAUACAAACACUUACGCACACGCACACACACGCACGGACGUGCACGCGAAAGUAACGAGUUGGACGCUGCAAGCUAUACGAUCUCUGGUUGCAGUCGCGAUAGGCGUAAAAACCUAACUGGAAUGAUUCGCCACUUGUGUGUCUCGGAUUCCAGUCUUCUUCGAUACCAAAUAUCACCUACACUUGUGUGGCUUCCCGUUCCAGUUAAGUUAUCGAAAUAUCCGCCACGCGGUGAGUCCUCGGAUAUCGGCAAGAGAUUUUACGAAACUCCUCUGCUCUGCCAACGGAAAAAUCUGCCGAUGCAGUGUUCAUUUCAGCUGACAGCGUUCAAAUUGAGAUCUAUAAUUACAUGUUAAAUUUCGUUGGUCGCCGCGCAAAACGAAGACAUUUACGAGCGGAUCAGGUACCAAAGACACGUGUAAAAAUAAAACAGAAGGGCGUGGUACGGUAUAAAGAUGAAUGAUCGAGAAACAAAUCGAUUGUCGUUAACAGCGCAGUGUUCGUCUUUCCAUCAGCGUCGUCACCUCGACUCUUUGACAAAGGGCUCUUGAUUUUGCAAGCAGUCGACAUUGAAAGUACAUGUACAUAAAAAUGAGAGAGUGAGAGAGAGAGAGAGAGAGAGAGAGAGAGAGAGAGAGAGAGAGAGAGAGAGAGUGAAGACCCGCGUGCGCCUCCACAAGCACAAAUUUCCGCAGAUUAUCGAGCAAUUCACACGUAUAUAUUUUAACAGCAAGCUAUAGUUGGACCUAAUCAACAAAUGAAGAUUUUUGAAUUGUCUUGGCUUUUAUAUUUUUAAUGCGAAUUUUCUACGCAAAUCAUCCUCCAUAUGAAGAUUUUGAAAUUUGUCCGAGCAUGCGAUUCUCAAAUUUUACUAUAAAGAUGUAACAGUGGCUGACGAGUUGAAAAAUUGGCGGAUAU